GAUGAACGCUGACAGAAUGCUUAACACAUGCAAGUCGACUCGAGUCUUCGGACUUGGGUGGCGCACGGGUGAGUAACGCGUAAAGAACUUGCCUCUUAGACCGGGACAACAUCUGGAAACGGAUGCUAAUACCGGAUAUUAUGGUUUUUUCGCAUGGAGGAAUCAUGAAAGCUGGAUGCGCUAAGAGAGAGCUUUGCGUCCCAUUGGCUAGUUGGUGAGGUAACGGCCCACCAAGGCAAUGAUGGGUAGCCGGCCUGAGAGGGUGAACGGCCACAAGGGGACUGAGACACGGCCCUUACUCCUACGGGAGGCAGCAGUGGGGAAUAUUGGACAAUGGACCGCAAGUCUGAUCCAGCAAUUCUGUGUACACGAUGACGUUUUUCGGAAUGUAAAGUGCUUUCAGUCGGGAAGAAGUCAGUGACGGUACCGACAGAAGAAGCGACGGCUAAAUACGUGCCAGCAGCCGCGGUAAUACGUAUGUCGCAAGCGUUAUCCGGAUUUAUUGGGCGUAAAGCGCGUCUAGGCGGCAAGGAAAGUCUGAUGUGAAAAUGCGGAGCUCAACUCCGUAUGGCGUUGGAAACUGCCUUACUAGAGUACUGGAGAGGUAGGCGGAACUACAAGUGUAGAGGUGAAAUUCGUAGAUAUUUGUAGGAAUGCCGAUGGGGAAGCCAGCCCUACUGGGACAGAUACUGACGCUAAAGCGCGAAAGCGUGGGGUAGCAAACAGG
rnacentral:rRNA from 1 species